rnacentral:rRNA from 1 species
UACGUAGGGUGCAAGCGUUGUCCGGAAUUAUUGGGCGUAAAGCGCUCGUAGGCGGCUUGUCGCGUCGGCUGUGAAAACCUGGGGCUCAACUCCGGGCCUGCAGUCGAUACGGGCAAACUGGAGUGUUGCAGGGGAGACUGGAAUUCCUGGUGUAGCGGUGAAAUGCGCAGAUAUCAGGAGGAACACCGGUGGCGAAGGCGGGUCUCUGGGCAACAACUGACGCUGAGGAGCGAAAGCGUGGGGAGCAAACAGG